UCCAUCAGACCGUACCCUAAACCGACACAGGUGGACUGGUAGAGAAUACCAAGGCGCUUGAGAGAACGAUGUUGAAGGAACUCGGCAAAAUACCUCCGUAAGUUCGCGAGAAGGAGGCCCGGGUUCAAGGCAACUUGGAUCCGGGGGCACAAACCAGGGGGUGGCGACUGUUUAUUAAAAACACAGGGCUCUGCGAAGCCGCAAGGCGACGUAUAGGGUCUGACGCCUGCCCGGUGCCUGAAGGUUAAAAGGAGGGGUGAGAGCUCCGAAUUGAAGCCCAGGUAAACGGCGGCCGUAACUAUAACGGUCCUAAGGUAGCGAAAUUCCUUGUCGGGUAAGUUCCGACCUGCACGAAUGGCGUAACGACUUCCCCGCUGUCUCCAACAUCGACUCAGCGAAAUUGAAUUGCCUGUCAAGAUGCAGGCUUCCCGCGGUUAGACGGAAAGACCCCGUGCACCUUUACUACAGCUUCGCACUGGCAUCAGGAUUGUGAUGUGCAGGAUAGGUGGUAGGCAUCGAAGCCGGAACGCAAGUUCCGGUGGAGCCUCCCUUGAGAUACCACCCUUCGCACUCUUGAUGUCUAACCGCGGUCCGUUAUCCGGAUCCGGGACCCUGCGUGGCGGGUAGUUUGACUGGGGCGGUCGCCUCCUAAAGAGUAACGGAGGCGCGCGAAGGUUGGCUCAGAGCGGUCGGAAAUCGCUCGUUGAGUGCAAUGGCAGAAGCCAGCCUGACUGCAAGACUGACAAGUCGAGCAGAGACGAAAGUCGGCCAUAGUGAUCCGGUGGUCCCGCGUGGAAGGGCCAUCGCUCAACGGAUAAAAGGUACGCCGGGGAUAACAGGCUGAUACUGCCCAAGAGUCCAUAUCGACGGCAGUGUUUGGCACCUCGAUGUCGGCUCAUCUCAUCCUGGGGCUGGAGCAGGUCCCAAGGGUACGGCUGUUCGCCGUUUAAAGAGGUACGUGAGCUGGGUUUAGAACGUCGUGAGACAGUUCGGUCCCUAUCUGCCGUGGGUGCAGGAUACUUGAGAGGAGUUGCCCCUAGUACGAGAGGACCGGGGUGAACGAUCCACUGGUGGACCAGUUGUUAUGCCAAUAGCAGUGCUGGGUAGCUAUGAUCGGACAGGAUAACCGCUGAAGGCAUCUAAGCGGGAAGCCCCCCUCAAAACAAGGUAUCCCUGAGGGCCGUGGAAGACCACCACGCCGAUAGGCCGGAGGUGUAAGCGCAGCAAUGCGUUCAGCUGACCGGUACUAAUCGCCCGAUAGGCUUGAU
rnacentral:rRNA from 1 species